rnacentral:lncRNA from 1 species
AUGGUUUUAGCCUUUCAUGACAAGCCUUUGCAUGCUUCACUCUCCAACCCCUUUGCAGGGACCACAGACGCAGAUGUGACAGUGAAGGUGUCCUCAUCUUUCUCUGCCUUCUCGAGACCCAUGGAGACCUCAACGCUUCCGUCCACCGCUGCCUCCACCAGCGCAACCACCACUCCCUUCAGCCCCGAAACAGGAACCUCCACCCCAGAGAAGAGGUCCAGCACACCACUGCACGCCUUCACAGCCAGCACUGCGACUACUUGCAACAGCAGCCCCGCAGCCUCUAAUGUCACCUCACCGGCUGAGAGCACGACCCACAGCUCUGCCAGUUUGCCUGCUGGCACCACCACGGUCCAGAUAGUCCCCAUCACCACAGGAAGGGGGACCACCACUGAUGCCCGGUCUCCAACCACUGCAGCCGUGACGUCCACUCGUGUCGAGAUGACAGUCAGCACGUCCAUGGGGACCAGCACGGCUUCGGGUGUCAGUUUGACCAGAGGCGACACAAGCACGGUGCCUCCCUCCACCUCCUCUGUUCUUUCUUCCACCAUGGAGGGCACCACGCUUGCCACGAGCACCUACGAAGGGCCAACCACAACCACGCUGCUUCGCAGCACAUCCCAGGAGACCAGCAGUGCGUCUCCCUCUACGACCACUCCUCCUAUCACGACAGAAGAGACAAUCACUUCAGCUGGGUCCUCAGCAUCGCUGGAGGACACCACAACUGUCUCCAUCACCAGCACAGUGGUCUCAGAGAGCACCCCCACUGCCACCCAGUCGGAGACUACAGCUGGGACCACCCCUGAUAUCUCCACCCCGACCUCAGGGACAGCCCCGGACACCACAACAGUGCCUCAAACCUCAAGUGCAGCGUCAAAGUCGUCUUCCCCUGCCACUGACUCAACCCAGAGUUCAGAGGUUACCAUCAGCACCACUGCAGACCAGCCAACGACACCGCUUGUCUGCCCCAGUGCCGCGACAAACACCAGUGCAUCUCACCUCUUUCUGUCAAUGCGCCUAACUUUUCCCCUGGACCUUGAAAACUCCAUGGCUCAGGAGCUGAUUUUGUCCAAGCUCCGUGGGGAUCUGCAGACCGCGUUCCCGUGUGCUGGCUUCACAGUGCAGUGGAGAGGGAAGAGGAGGACCUGAACGCUCUCCUCCCAGCCUGAGGACCUGCUGGGCAGCGACCUGAGAUGCCUUCCUGGAUUUUUGGUUUCACUCUCUAGCAGAGGUGCCAUGGAGGAAAACCAACUGCAUCCAACUGGAAACCAACUGGAUCUGAUUACUCCUUAGGAACCAGCCACCAGCUAGGACGAGUUCCUGCACAACCAGACCUUUAUUUAUGUGCUUCCUUCUCUGAAAUAAACGAUGGGCUGGGGGAAUUGCUUUCGCA